rnacentral:tRNA from 1 species
AAGGGAUUAAGAUAAAAGUUAGCUGCUAACUAAGCUUUGAAGCGGUUAAAUUCCGUUUAUCCCUUA